GGAGAAGUGGCUGAGCGGCUUAAAGCACCGGUUUGCUAAACCGGCGUCGGUGAGACAAUCACCGGCCGUGGGUCCAAAUCCCACCUUCUCCGCCA
rnacentral:tRNA from 1 species